AUUUAUAUAGUUUAAUAAAAACAACUCAUUUUCAUUGAGUAAUUGAGAAAUAAAUCUCUGUAAAUU
rnacentral:tRNA from 1 species